UGAAGGGUGCUAUGCUGCAGUCGAGCGACGCAUGCCCAGUUCGUAAGAACAGGGUAUGACGGAGCGGCGAACGGGUGAGUAACACGUGAGCAACCUGCCCCACAGACCGGGAUAGCCCAAGGAAACUUGGAUUAAUACCGGAUUCCCUCGAACAAUCGCAUGGUUGAUCGAGGAAAGGCCUUUGUGCUGUGGGAUGGGCUCGCGGCUUAUCAGCUAGUUGGUGGGGUAAAGGCCUACCAAGGCAUCGACGAGUAGCUGGUCUGAGAGGACGAUCAGCCACACUGGAACUGAGACACGGUCCAGACUCCUACGGGAGGCAGCAGCAGGGAAUCUUGCGCAAUGGGCGAAAGCCUGACGCAGUAACGCCGCGUGGGGGAUGAAGGCCUUCGGGUUGUAAACCCCUUUCAGGAGGGAAGAAAUUGACGGUACCUCCAGAAGAAGGACCGGCCAACUACGUGCCAGCAGCCGCGGUAAUACGUAGGGUCCUAGCGUUAUCCGGAAUCAUUGGGCGUAAAGAGCUCGUAGGCGGUUCAGCAAGUCGGCUGUGAAAGUCCGAGGCUUAACCUCGGAAUUGCAGUCGAUACUGCUGUGACUCGAGUCCGGUAGAGGAGAAUGGAAUUCUCGGUGUAGCGGUGAAAUGCGCAGAUAUCGAGAGGAACACCAGUAGCGAAGGCGGUUCUCUGGGCCGGCACUGACGCUGAGGAGCGAAAGCGUGGGGAGCAAACAGGAUUAGAUACCCUGGUAGUCCACGCCGUAAACGUUGGAUACUAGGUGUGGCGGUUGUACCAACGACUGCCGUGCCGAAAGCUAACGCAUUAGU
rnacentral:rRNA from 1 species